rnacentral:rRNA from 1 species
AGUGAACGCUGGCGGUAGGCCUAACACAUGCAAGUCGAACGGCAGCACAGUAGGAGCUUGCUCUUACGGGUGGCGAGUGGCGGACGGGUGAGGAAUACAUCGGAAUCUACUUUUUCGUGGGGGAUAACGUAGGGAAACUUACGCUAAUACCGCAUACGACCUACGGGUGAAAGCAGGGGAUCUUCGGACCUUGCGCGAUUGAAUGAGCCGAUGUCGGAUUAGCUAGUUGGCGGGGUAAAGGCCCACCAAGGCGACGAUCUGUAGCUGGUCUGAGAGGAUGAUCAGCCACACUGGAACUGAGACACGGUCCAGACUCCUACGGGAGGCAGCAGUGGGGAAUAUUGGACAAUGGGCGCAAGCCUGAUCCAGCCAUACCGCGUGGGUGAAGAAGGCCUUCGGGUUGUAAAGCCCUUUUGUUGGGAAAGAAAAGCAGCAGGUUAAUACCCCGCUGUUCUGACGGUACCCAAAGAAUAAGCACCGGCUAACUUCGUG